rnacentral:rRNA from 1 species
UACGUAGGGGGCGAGCGUUGUCCGGAAUUACUGGGCGUAAAGCGUGCGCAGGCGGUUUGCUAAGACAGGUGUGAAAUCCCCGGGCUUAACCUGGGAACUGCGCUUGUUACUGGCAAGCUGGAGUGUGGCAGAGGGGGGUGGAAUUCCACGUGUAGCAGUGAAAUGCGUAGAGAUGUGGAGGAACACCGAUGGCGAAGGCAGCCCCCUGGGCUAACACUGACGCUCAUGCACGAAAGCGUGGGGAGCAAACAGG